UGGGGAAUAUUGCACAAUGGGCGCAAGCCUGAUGCAGCCAUGCCGCGUGUUGUGAAGAAGGCCUUCGGGUUGUAAAGCACUUUCAGCGAGGAGGAAGGUGGUGAGCUUAAUACGCUCAUCAAUUGACGUUACUCGCAGAAGAAGCACCGGCUAACUCCGUGCCAGCAGCCGCGGUAAUACGGAGGGUGCAAGCGUUAAUCGGAAUUACUGGGCGUAAAGCGCACGCAGGCGGUUUGUUAAGUCAGAUGUGAAAUCCCCGGGCUCAACCUGGGAACUGCAUUUGAAACUGGCAAGCUAGAGUCUCGUAGAGGGGGUAGAAUUCCAGGUGUAGCGGUGAAAUGCGUAGAGAUCUGGAGGAAUACCGGUGGCGAAGGCGGCCCCCUGGACGAGGACUACGCUCAGUCGAAGGCUGCAAGUGGGUGGAGCAAACAGGAUUAGAUACCCUGGUAGU
rnacentral:rRNA from 1 species